rnacentral:tmRNA from 1 species
GGGGGUGAACCAGGUUCGACAUGGGUAGGAAGGGCAUCAUAAGCGAGCCGAGGUCCCCAACACCUCGAUAAACCUUGGGAACUUAAAUUAAUUGCAAACAAU